UACGGAGGAUGCAAGCGUUAUCCGGAAUGAUUGGGCGUAAAGGGCUCGUAGGCGGUCUGUCGCGUCGGGAGUGAAAACUCAGGGCUUAACCCUGAGCCUGCUUCCGAUACGGGCAGACUAGAGGUAUGCAGGGGAGAACGGAAUUCCUGGUGUAGCGGUGGAAUGCGCAGAUAUCAGGAGGAACACCGGUGGCGAAGGCGGUUCUCUGGGCAUUACCUGACGCUGAGGAGCGAAAGUGUGGGGAGCGAACAGG
rnacentral:rRNA from 1 species